ACUCAUUACAUAGGCAGCAGGUUGUGGAUUCACUUAGUAGUCAUCCCACUGUUCGGCCAAUGUCACAUCAACAACAAUCUCAUGCAUUUUCAUCCCAAGAGGUUCACCUUUCAAAGAAAGAGAAGAAGAAUAAGAAGAAGAAGAAGAACUAACAAGGUAAAAGUACUAAUAUCACUAGUUCGUGGUUUAUGUUCAUUUGAUUUGUAAGGCAUUGUUGGUUCUGAAAUUAGGGUUUUGGUUGUUACUGUUGUGACUAGUGACUAAAUUUGGGUAUUUUUGGAGAUGGAAAAUUAAAGGGGUGACCAUUUAUGAAGUCAUCUUUGCAUUUGAAGCUUUGAAUUUGGGCUCAGGGCUUUGCUUUCAUUGUUGUACUUGAAAUCUCUCUUGCUAUGUAAUGGCUACCAAAAUGUGCACUCAGCAA